rnacentral:rRNA from 1 species
UUAAGCGUGUAGGCUGGUUUUCCAGGCAAAUCCGGAAAAUCAAGGCUGAGGCGUGAUGACGAGGCACUACGGUGCUUGAGCAACAAAUGCCCUGCUUCCAGGAAAAGCCUCUAAGCAUCAGGUAACAUCAAAUCGUACCCCAAACCGACACAGGUGGUCAGGUAGAGAAUACCAAGGCGCUUGCGGUAAUACGGAGGGUGCAAGCGUUAAUCGGAAUUACUGGGCGUAAAGCGCACGCAGGCGGUUUGUUAAGUCAGAUGUGAAAUCCCCGGGCUCAACCUGGGAACUGCAUCUGAUACUGGCAAGCUUGAGUCUCGGUAGGGGGGGUAGAAUUCCAGGUGUAGCGGUGAAAUGCGUAGAGAUCUGGAGGAAUACCGGUGGCGAAGGCGGCCCCCUGGACGAAGACUGACGCUCAGGUGCGAAAGCGUGGGGAGCAAACAGGAUUAGAUACCCUGGUAGUCCACGCCGUAAACGAUGUCGACUUGGAGGUUGUGCCCUUGAGGCGUGGCUUCCGGAGCUAACGCGUUAAGUCGACCGCCUGGGGAGUACGGCCGCAAGGUUAAAACUCAAAUGAAUUGACGGGGGCCCGCACAAGCGGUGGAGCAUGUUGGUUAAUUCGAUGCAACGCGAAGAACCUUACCUGGUCUUGACAUCCACAGAACUUUCCAGAGAUGGAUUGGUGCCUUCGGGAACUGUGAGACAGGUGCUGCAUGGCUGUCGUCAGCUCGUGUUGUGAAAUGUUGGGUUAAGUCCCGCAACGAGCGCAACCCUUAUCCUUUGUUGCCAGCGGUCCGGCCGGGAACUCAAAGGAGACUGCCAGUGAUAAACUGGAGAAGGUGGGGAUGACGUCAAGUCAUCAUGGCCCUUACGACCAGGGCUACACCACGUGCUACAAUGGCGCAUACAAAGAGAAGCGACCUCGCGAGAGCAAGCGGACUCAUAAAGUGCGUCGUAGGUCCGGAUUGGAGUCUGCAACUCGACUCCAUGAAGUCGGAAUCGCUAGUAAUCGUGGGAUCAGAAUGCCACGGUGAAUACGUUCCCGGGCCUUGUACACACCGCCCGUCACACCAUGGGAGUGGGUUGCAAAAGAAGUAGGUAGCUUAACCUUCGGGAGGGCGCUUACCACUUUGUGAUUCAUGACUGGGGUGAAGUCGUAACAAGGUAACCGUAGGGGAACCUGCGGUUG